ACAGCCACAUCACGCUGAAACACCGGUUCUCGCACGAUCAUCAAAGUUAAGCAACGACGCGCCUGGUCAGUAACUAGAUGGGUGACCUCUUGGGGAUACCAGCUGCUGUAAG